GACGAACGCUGGCGGCGUGCCUAAUACAUGCAAGUAGAACGCACAGUUUAUACCGUAGCUUGCUACGCCAUAGACUGUGAGUUGCGAACGGGUGAGUAACGCGUAGGUAACCUGCCUGGUAGCGGGGGAUAACUAUUGGAAACGAUAGCUAAUACCGCAUAAUAUUGAUUAUUGCAUGAUAAUUGAUUGAAAGAUGCUAUUGCAUCACUACCAGAUGGACCUGCGUUGUAUUAGCUAGUAGGUGAGGUAACGGCUCACCUAGGCGACGAUACAUAGCCGACCUGAGAGGGUGAUCGGCCACACUGGGACUGAGACACGGCCCAGACUCCUACGGGAGGCAGCAGUAGGGAAUCUUCGGCAAUGGACGAAAGUCUGACCGAGCAACGCCGCGUGAGUGAAGAAGGGUUUCGGAUCGUAAAGCUCUGUUGUAAGAGAAGAACGGGUGUGAGAGUGGAAAGUUCACACUGUGACGGUAUCUUACCAGAAAGGGACGGCUAACUACGUG
rnacentral:rRNA from 1 species